AAGAAGUCAGGCCCCAAAGCCACGGUUUGAGCAAACCGUGCUGCCUGUAGCUCCGUCGUGGGGACGUAAAAACCUGGGAGGCUGCAAACUGUGGAAGCUGUACGCACAGUGUAGCAGACUAGUGGUUAGAGGAGACCCCUCCCAUGACACAACGCAGCAGCGGGGCCCGAGCACUGAGGGAAGCUGUACCUCCUUGCAAAGGAC
rnacentral:lncRNA from 1 species